GUGGGCGUGGCGGUGUGCAGUCACGUUUCGGACUCGAGGUCGGGCCUCCGGACCUUCUUGAAUUCUGUGAACUGGUGUGCCUAGGAGGGACACCGAGGUCAACCAGAGGACCCACACGCGAGUUCUCGACGCGAAGACACUGGCUGGGGGGCGCGUCCUCUGAGCCUCAGUUUGCUCAGGUGGUGGCUAUUGGGGGCGGGUGCGACCUCCUGAGGUGAGCUCUCCAGGCCUGUGGUCCCCUAUGCAGCCGAGCCAAGGCUUGUCCCGGUAAACAGAAGCAGCACCCCCGCGGCGCUACCCCAAACUGGUGCCCACCAAGCGACCACGGUGUUUGUCAGCCUGCACGUGGGCCUGUGUUGGCAAAACGGGUUGGCCAGGCAGCUAAGGUCUAACUAGAGAAAACAAUUCCCCUCCUACCAUGUCGAACCGUCCCUUAUUGCACACACAAGAUUUCUUUCCCAGUUUUUCUGUUGUAAAUAACCCCGCGACUAAUAUCCAUCUUUCUCCGUGGUAUUAUUAUUAUUUAGGAUACAUUGCUGGAGUGGGAAUUACUGGGUCAAAGGAUUUAAGCUGCCAAAUUUGCCCUCCAGGAAAACAAUUUGUAUUCUCACUACCAGUAGAUUACAGCACGCUUUUUGUGAAUUUUGGAUGUCAGCGGAUAUUUAAUGUUUGUUCAGGUGGGUUUGGUUUCGGUUGUGUGGGUUUUUCUCUUUGUUUUAGUUUUGGUUUAGUACUGGGAAUUGAACCUGGAAGCACUUUACCAUUGAGCUACAAUUAAAUUGCUGAGACUGCUUUGGAACUCGGUGAUCCUCCUUCCUCAGCCUCCCUAGUCGCUGAGAUUAUGGGCGUGCACCACUACCAGUGAUGAAUUUGUUUUUGAUUCACAAUAUUGGACAGUAAUCUUGGGUUAAUGGCCACUUAUAUUUAUUUAUUUAUUUUAUCAUAGCAUUUUAUGGGAGUUAAUACUUUGUGAUUAAAAUUGUUCUAACACUUCAAAAGCUAACAUCAAGCUGGAUUUUUAAAACUGGUCUUAGUACUUAGCACAUCGCUUUUUGAAUUGUCUUGAGAUCACAACUGAUGACAAUAAAGGGUCUACAGCUGUUUCCACAAACAUUUGCUAGCUAAUGUAAGUAUGACUUUUUGUAUGGUAACCCAAACUUAAUUUUAAACUUAUAGACGAUCAGAACUCUGUACACUUCAAGGAGAGGCAUUCUCUGAUCCAGAGUGGUCAAAGCCAAGGAUUGUUUUCUAGCACCCUCUAAUACCUCCCCCUCUGUCCCUUCUGAUAACAGAAUUAUUUGGUGUAGAUAGUGACAUUUUCUAUGAAAUGUAAAUAAAAAUAACCUUAGAAAACUGCUUCUUUUAUGGAUCUAAAGCAUGAAUUUGUAUAAAAAUGUGCUUUGUAGGUAAAUGGGAACUUUAAAGCCCCUUAGGCCUCUUCUCAUUAGACUGUUACUCC
rnacentral:lncRNA from 1 species